CUAGUGUUCUUGUUUUUUCUUCUGUUCCCCCUGAGAGUUUGAGAGUGUUAUUUUAUUGGAAAUCUCCCGUUUUAUAUUUCUACUCUUUAGUGGUACAGUUCGUAUUUUUUAGCAAACAGUUCCAGCGAUUUUGACGACCUUCCUACAUCAACCCCAACAACAAAUGGGGGGAAAAAAAGAAAAAGAAAGAAAGAACCUAAAAGCCAGAGCUUGGCGUGAAAAUUGGAUUAUCUGAAAGACAAAACGACUGAUGCAGAGUUCGCACCAAGUAAAGGAUUUUUACUUCUUCCUUUAAGUGUUUGAAAAAUCAAACUCAACAUUUUCAUGGAAAAUAUAACCAAGUGAUUAACCUGAAGUACAUAUGGUUAAGUGUGAAUCAAGGACUGAAACUGGCUACUUGACAAGUGUUUGGCACAAAUAUGAACAUACAUGGAACAAAGAAGACUAAAGGACAAGUAAGGCCACCAGAAAUCUUUGGUUGUUUUCUAUAAAAUAUAUCCU